rnacentral:rRNA from 1 species
AGUGAACGCUGGCGGUAGGCCUAACACAUGCGAGUCGAACGGCAGCACAGUAAGAGCUUGCUCUUACGGGUGGCGAGUGGCGGACGGGUGCGGAAUACAUCGGAAUCUACUUUUUCGUGGGGGAUAACGUAGGGAAACUUACGCUAAUACCGCAUACGACCUACGGGUGAAAGCAGGGGAUCUUCGGACCUUGCGCGAUUGUAUGAGCCGAUGUCGGAUUAGCUAGUUGGCGGGGUAAAGGCCCACCAAGGCGACGAUCCGUAGCUGGUCUGAGAGGAUGAUCAGUCACACUGGAACUGAGACACGGUCCAGACUCCUACGGGAGGCAGCAGUGGGGAAUAUUGGACAAUGGGCGCAAGCCUGAUCCAGCCAUACCGCGUGGGUGAAGAAGGCCUUCGGGUUGUAAAGCCCUUUUGUUGGGAAAGAAAAGCAGCAGGUUAAUACCCCGCUGUUCUGACGGUACCCAAAGAAUAAGCACCGGCUAACUUCGUG